rnacentral:rRNA from 1 species
UACGUAGGCAGCGAGCGUUGUUCGGAGUUACUGGGCGUAAAGGGUGUGUAGGCGGUCGUUUAAGUUUGGUGUGAAAUCUCCCGGCUCAACUGGGAGGGUGCGCCGAAUACUGAAUGACUUCGAGUGCGGGAGAGGAGAGUGGAAUUCCUGGUGUAGCGGUGAAAUGCGUAGAUAUCAGGAGGAACACCGGUGGUGUAGACGGCUCUCUGGACCGUAACUGACGCUGAGACACGAAAGCGUGGGUAGCAAACAGG